CUUCAGGCACGUUUGCCCACAUCUGAGAAUGAGACUUCUCUGAGAGGGAAUGCGUUACUUGUGAAUUUGUCUACUAAUCAGUGCAUUGAACCAAGGCCCUAUUAUCAUUCAUAGCGUCCCUUGAUCUUGGCAAUCAAGGUAAUCUACCCUCGACCCGAACCGGCAGCUUAUAAACC